CCAAAAGUGCUGGGAUUAUGGGCAUGAACCGCUGCGCCUGACCUUUACAUUUUUCGAAUGGGCGAACGGCAGCUUACUGUGCAGCAGUUUAUCAUGGAAACAAUGUAUGAUGCAUUCUCAUUGUUCCUAAUGUUCUUGAUUUCCACGACUCAUCACUCCCUCGUUUUCUUUGUCCAGCUUUUCUGAGCUCUGCAUGGCGCACUACAUCAUCUCGAAUGUUGUCACUUUAAGGACUUGUCUCUGUGUCUUCUGUGUCCUGUCUGUACAUACACACCUGGACUCUCGUUCACAAAUUGACGUCUUGGCUCCAACACCUCCACUGAGCUUCAGACUUAAAGGGACAGUGAUCUGAUAGAAAGUCCCACACAAACAUAUAAUGAUCAUGCUCACCAUAAAUUCUGGGGUGAUUCCAAGAGGACAUUCCAUGUACAUGUCUGAAAGAGAAUUUGUUUUGCUCAUACCCUGUUAAUGAUGCCUACUCCUUCCCAGUAAAGAACACCUCCUUCCAUGCUGUUGUUCACACUGAAAUUGCCGCAUACAAACUUUACUCCUCCAUUAUCAUUCCUCCCCAUCUGGUCAUCUCCAUUGUUUCAAAUCCAUUCACAUUUUGUUCAGUGAACUUCCAAAAUAUAUCCCCGAUGCAUACCUUUACCUCUGUUUCCACAGCCUUCAGUUUAAUCCACUGUCAUCAAAGUGACCACAGCUGCAUGAGCCUCCUAAGUGACCUCUUUGUUACCUUGGCUUUCCCUUGAUACUCUGUUCUCCAAAAGAAAUGCAAACAUAUAUUUUUCAGGAAUGAAAUAGUGGCAAGUGUAGCAACUUGGAUGGAAUUGGAGACCAUUAUUCUAAGUGAAGUAACUCAGGAGUGGAAAACCAGACAUCAUAUAUUCUCACUCAUAAGCGGGAGCUAAACUGAGGAUGCAAAGGCGUAAGAAGGAUACAGUGAACUCUGGGGACUUGGGGAGACGUGUCGGGGGGAGUGAGGAACACAAGGCUACAUAUUGCAUGCAGUGUACACUGCUUGGGUGACGGGUGCACCAAAAUCUCAGAAAUCACCACUAAAGAAUGUAUCCAUGAAAGAAAUUGUCACCUGUCCUCCAAAAACCUAUUGAAAUAAAAAAUUUAAAUAUUUUUAAAACAUGACUCAUCUAUCAUAUUGCUUUCCUGCUUAGAACCUUUUUAGCCAAACCCUUCAUACUUAAAAUCCAGUCUACUCAUCAAGGUGUCAAGACCUACAGGAUUUAGCCCCUACUUUCCUCUCACUUCCAUGUCCACUCUGUCUCACUGGGCCACCUGGCCAGCCUGACAGCUCUCCUCUUGGCUCCGGGACACCCAGUUUUUCCUCUGUCAGCACACUGAGUGCACUUCAGUGUGCACUGUACCCAAUGUGUAAUCUCUUAUCCCUCCCACUCUUUCCUGCAAGUCCCCAAAGUCCAUUGUGUCAUUCUUAUGCCUUUGCCAUCUCACAGCUUAGUUCCCACUUGUAAGUGAGAACAUAGGAUGUCUAUUUUUCCAUUUCUGAGUUACAAUUUGCCUGGUUCUCGCCUCUUCUGUCCCCCAGGCCUCCACUUGACAAACUCCUGCUUACCAUUUGGAUACCAGGACAAAUGUUAUCUCCUCAAAAUGGACUUCCUUAAAGACAUAAGACUUUUCCCUUGGGCUCAGCUCUAGCCCGCUUCCCUGUGUGUUGUCUUCAGAGCACUUACUGUGCUCUGCAAUAAACUUAUAUCUUUUUCCUUCUUGUCUCUUCUGAGUAGUGCACAGGCUCCAGGAGGGGAAGGCACCGUCUUUUCUGUGCUAUACCCCAGAGACUAGAACUUUUCUUGGUGCAGACUUGAUGCUCAACAAAUAUCUGCUGAAUAAAUGAAUAAACGAUUACAUAAAUGAAUAAUGCGCUCCUCUUUCCAUAAUUUUGGUUUUCCGGGCAACGAAAAACUUAGGAAAUAAUAUGGUCUUCAAGGUUUAUACAUGUCUUAUCUCUGCCAAGGACAGUUGCCUCUCCGGAGAGCUGACUUGACAUACGGCUGAAGCACCAUCGAGCGGACUGGAGGAAUGCUCUGAUCACAUUGCCCUGUGGCAUGGGGCUUAAUCAGCCUUUCCAUUUUUGGCUAAAUGGCUUCACUGCAAAUGCUUUCAAUCAUAUCCAUGUUUGGCUGAAAUUUUAUGGCGAAACAUAACUUAGGCGGAUUUUUAUUUGAAAAUUACAAUAAAACAAACUGUUCUUUCUAGACAUAUGUUCAAUAUUUCAGUGAAUCAACGUAGAGUUUUUUCUUGAACUUCUCUAUUCAUAUAGAAUAUGAAUUCUCACUUUUGUCCUAAGAGAAGUAAAACUUAGGCCGAGUAUGGUGGCUGAUGCUUGUAAUCCCAACACUUUGUGAGGCUGAGGUGGGAGGAUCACUUGAGCGCAGGAGGUUGAAGUUACAGUAAGCCGUGAUUGUGCCACUGCACGCCAGCCUGGGCGACAGAGAGAGACCCUGUCUCAAA